CCAGACUCCUACGGGAGGCAGCAGUGAGGAAUAUUGGUCAAUGGCCGUAAGGCUGAACCAGCCAAGUAGCGUGAGGGAAGACUGCCCUAUGGGUUGUAAACCUCUUUUAUGCGGGGAUAAAGGUGUCCACGUGUGGAUGUUUGCAGGUACCGCAUGAAUAAGGACCGGCUAAUUCCGUGCCAGCAGCCGCGGUAAUACGGAAGGUCCGGGCGUUAUCCGGAUUUAUUGGGUUUAAAGGGUGCGUAGGCGGGCUUUUAAGUCAGCGGUAAAAAUUCGGGGCUCAACCCCGUCCGGCCGUUGAAACUGGGGGCCUUGAGUGGGCGAGAAGAAGGCGGAAUGCGUGGUGUAGCGGUGAAAUGCUUAGAUAUCACGAAGAACUCCGAUUGCGAAGGCAGCAUACGGCAGCGCUACUGACGCUGAAGCUCGAAGGCGCGGGUAUCGAACAGGAUUAGAUACCCCUGUAGAA
rnacentral:rRNA from 1 species